CACCGCGGUUAUACGAGGGGCCCAAGUUAACAAACACCGGCGUAAAAAGUGGUUAGUAUACAAUUUAACUAAAGCCAAACACCUUCAAGGCUGUUAUAUGCUCUCGAAGCUAGGAAGCCCUCCCACGAAAGUGGCUUUAAAUGUUACAAACCCACGAAAGCUAGGAAA
rnacentral:rRNA from 1 species